rnacentral:rRNA from 1 species
GACGAACGCUGGCGGCGUGCUUAACACAUGCAAGUCGAACGGAAAGGCCCUGCUUUUGUGGGGUGCUCGAGUGGCGAACGGGUGAGUAACACGUGAGUAACCUGCCCUUGACUUUGGGAUAACUUCAGGAAACUGGGGCUAAUACCGGAUAGGAGCUCCUGCUGCAUGGUGGGGGUUGGAAAGUUUCGGCGGUUGGGGAUGGACUCGCGGCUUAUCAGCUUGUUGGUGGGGUAGUGGCUUACCAAGGCUUUGACGGGUAGCCGGCCUGAGAGGGUGACCGGCCACAUUGGGACUGAGAUACGGCCCAGACUCCUACGGGAGGCAGCAGUGGGGAAUAUUGCACAAUGGGCGGAAGCCUGAUGCAGCAACGCCGCGUGCGGGAUGACGGCCUUCGGGUUGUAAACCGCUUUCGCCUGUGACGAAGCGUGAGUGACAGUAAUGGGUAAAGAAGCACCGGCUAACUACGUGCCAGCAGCCGCGGUGAUACGUAGGGUGCGAGCGUUGUCCGGAUUUAUUGGGCGUAAAGGGCUCGUAGGUGGUUGAUCGCGUCGGAAGUGUAAUCUUGGGGCUUAACCCUGAGCGUGCUUUCGAUACGGGUUGACUUGAGGAAGGUAGGGGAGAAUGGAAUUCCUGGUGGAGCGGUGGAAUGCGCAGAUAUCAGGAGGAACACCAGUGGCGAAGGCGGUUCUCUGGGCCUUUCCUGACGCUGAGGAGCGAAAGCGUGGGGAGCGAACAGGCUUAGAUACCCUGGUAGUCCACGCUGUAAACGGUGGGUACUAGGUGUGGGGUCCAUUCCACGGGUUCCGUGCCGUAGCUAACGCUUUAAGUACCCCGCCUGGGGAGUACGGCCGCAAGGCUAAAACUCAAAGGAAUUGGCGGGGCCCCGCACAAGCGGCGGAGCAUGCGGAUUAAUUCGAUGCAACGCGUAGAACCUUACCUGGGUUUGACAUGGAUCGGGAGUGCUCAGAGAUGGGUGUGCCUCUUUUGGGGUCGGUUCACAGGUGGUGCAUGGCUGUCGUCAGCUCGUGUCGUGAGAUGUUGGGUUAAGUCCCGCAACGAGCGCAACCCUUGUUCACUGUUGCCAGCACGUUAUGGUGGGGACUCAGUGGAGACCGCCGGGGUCAACUCGGAGGAAGGUGGGGAUGACGUCAAGUCAUCAUGCCCCUUAUGUCCAGGGCUUCACGCAUGCUACAAUGGCUGGUACAGAGAGUGGCGAGCCUGUGAGGGUGAGCGAAUCUCGGAAAGCCGGUCUCAGUUCGGAUUGGGGUCUGCAACUCGACCUCAUGAAGUCGGAGUCGCUAGUAAUCGCAGAUCAGCAACGCUGCGGUGAAUACGUUCCCGGG